rnacentral:lncRNA from 1 species
UGUCCUAGAAACAACCACAUGCUGGAGAAUGGAAUUCCAUAAGGUACUCUCUUAGAUAAAGGAAGUGCCAGCCAUCCUGUUGCCAUCUGCUAAAAUCCUCAGCCCACCUGCAUAGUGAACAGCAUUCAUUGUUUUCCAGAAAUGUGCAAGAACCACAGUCUCCCCCAAGACUGAAGAUCUGCUUCAUCGACAUGGCAGGGAACGUGGCUGAACACAGAGGACUCAUUUUUGCAGCUUCCCUACCAGAGAGAGAGAGACACCCUUUUUACCCGAGUUCUGAGUUGAAAUAUCCUAGAAGAGAACUCUGAUUGGCCUGGCUUGGGUCACAUGCCUGUCCUUGAGUUGAUCAACUGUGAUUAGUUAUAAGUGUACUCAUUAGUAACUUCCCCUGGAACCUUAGAUUUGAUGUGGGGUAAGACUUCCAAAAACAAACAAAAAAAUAAAACAGAAGAAUGCUA